rnacentral:rRNA from 1 species
AGAGCCAGCGUAUCUGGCCUGUAUUCAACUGCAUUGUUGUGAGCAGUUGGGCGCUGCAUCUCCAGAUUGGGACAGUCCUAGCUUGCAAGCAACAAUGUUGUGCAUUUGCAGGUCGAGUGCGCCGAGACUUUCGAGAAGGCGAUAUGAGCUCAAUUUUGAGGCCAGCUUGCUGGUACCCGGAUUGGAGGAAUGUUGUUCGUUUUGGAUGUGAAUGGGGGAAAGGUUUUCGGGCUCGUAUGGGUUCGAAUUGGUGUGGGGUGGCAGUUGCAUGCAACAUGUGCCUUCUGCCAAUUCGGUCCUGUGCGAGCUCACAAUCCCACUCUCGGCGUAAAAGUUGGUCAUCUAUCCGACCCGUCUUGAAACACGGACCAAGGAGUUUAUCGUGUGCGCAAGUCAUUGGGUGUUGAAAACUCAAAGGCGCAAUGAAAGUAAAGAAUCCGCAAGGAUACGACGUGUGAUCUGAGCAAUCACGAUUGCCUGGAGCAACAUGGCCCCAUUCUGGUCGCUUGCGACGGGGUGGAGGAAGAGCGUACGCGGUGAGACCCGAAAGAUGGUGAACUAUUCCUGAGCAGGAUGAAGCCAGAGGAAACUCUGGUGGAAG